rnacentral:rRNA from 1 species
AACGAACGCUGGCGGCAUGCCUAACACAUGCAAGUCGAGCGAGGACUUCGGUUCUAGCGGCGGACGGGUGAGUAACGCGUGGGAAUGUGCCCUUCUCUACGGAAUAGCCCUGGGAAACUGGGAGUAAUACCGUAUACGCCCUAUUGGGGAAAGAUUUAUCGGAGAAGGAUCAGCCCGCGUUGGAUUAGGUAGUUGGUGGGGUAAUGGCCUACCAAGCCUACGAUCCAUAGCUGGUUUGAGAGGAUGACCAGCCACACUGGGACUGAGACACGGCCCAGACUCCUACGGGAGGCCGCAGUGGGGAAUCUUCGACAAUGGGGGCAACCCUGAUCUAGCCAUGCCGCGUGAGUGAUGAAGGACUUAGGGUUGUAAAGCUCUUUCAGCUGGGAAGAUAAUGACGGUACCAGCAGAAGAAGCCGCGGCUAACUCCGUG